rnacentral:lncRNA from 1 species
CACCUGGUGACUGCUGGACUCCGAUUUAUCAAAGCCACUGCGGGCAGGAAAUUGGCUUCUUAUGAACAAGCAGAACAUGACUUUUUAAUAUUAUUAUUGUUUUCAUAUUUUCCAGCAAACUAAGGCACAGACCUACUUCCUCUUCAGAAAGCCUGACGUGAAUAGCUCGGAGGCUGCUGUGACAGUUCUCUUGUAUUUACAGGCAGACAAGUCAGGAGUUCCGGACUGUAGGGAUGGUACCAGGAUUUAGAAUGGGAAGGGGAUUCCCAGCCACCUAAUGGAAUCCUGUCAUUUGAUAGAAGAGGAAACAGGUAUGGGGAAGAAAAAUUGACUCAACCUUUGAGAAGGCAGAUAUCAGACUGAGUCUUCCGCUCUAAGAUACUAUAGAUGCAGGUUCUUCCUGGACUUUUCCCACCCCUCCAGCCCCCAGUCAUGGGGAGGAGGGAGAGCAGUCGGCCAAUCUAGCAGUAAAUUGCAUCUUUUCAAGUAUCGGGGUGAGCAGCGAGGAUUUUCCUUUGGUGUUCUUCAUCUCUAAGAAAGUAAGUUUGGGGACUACAGGAAGCUGUGAAACCAUUAAAAGGGACUAAUUUUCUAUGAAUCUGGCAGACUCCCC